CAUCUGUAUAGACUGAGAUUGCUGGUUCGUCUGUUUGACCCUUUUUCUUCUAUUUGCCUGUCCUUAUGCUCCUGUUCGUCUGUUCCAGGAAAUACCGAUUGAAACUACCAAACGGACGGCCACCCAGGAGUGAAGUGUACUGCUGGUUAACCUCUUGGCCCCAAUUAGAAUGUUGUGGUUAACCGCAGACACCUCUCCAUUCUAU